rnacentral:lncRNA from 1 species
UAGUUUCUAUUGCUAUGUCUUCAAGUUCACUAAUCUUUUCUUCUGCUACAUGUAAUCUGCCAUUCUAUCUAGUUUAUUUUUUAAUCUCAGAAACUGUAGUUUUUAUCUAGUUCAUCUUGGGUCUUGUUUUAUAUCAUCUAUGUGUCUUCUUAACUUUUUGAACAUAUGGAAUACAGCUAAAAUGAUAUACUUCUCUGCUAAUUGUGACAUCUCUUUCAGUUCUAGAAUUUCAAUUGAUCAUCCUCUUUUCUUAUCCUGGGUUGUUUUCCUGAUUCUUUGUGUGCCUGGUAACUUUUGGCUAUCUGAUAUUCUGAAUUUUACUUUCUUAUAUUUUGGAUAUUUUCCUAUAUCUGUAAAUUCUUUUUUUGUUUCGUUCUGUUUUUGGGGGCAGGGUCUCAGUCUGUCACAACCUCCUGGGCUCAAGCAAUCCUCCUACCUCAGCUUCCCGAGUAGCUGGGAACUACAGGUGCAUGCCACCACACCCAGCUAAUUUUUUUUUUUUUUUUUUUGGUAGAGAAAUGGGGUUUUGCUAUGUUGCCCAGGCUGGCCUCAAGCUCCUGGUCUCAAGUGAUCUGCCCACCUUGGCCUCCCAAAGUGCUGGGAUUACAGGUGUGAGCCACCGUGUGUGGCCACCUAUAAAUUCUUGAGCUUUUUUCCGGGAUACAAUCAAGUUAUUUGAAAACAGUUUUAUUAUUUUGGGUCUUGCUUUUAUGAUUUGUUGGGUGGGUCCAUUUAGGGUUAAUUAUUGUCUAGUAUAAGGCAAUACCUUCCUGAGUAUUCGACCCAAGGCCCCACAAAUUAUGAGAUUUUAUUUUUAUAGUCCAGCUUUUGGGAACAAGCACUCUUCCCAGCUCUGUGUGAGCACCUGGUACUGUUCCCUCCAAUACUUCAGCAUGGUUCUUUCUUCUGUCUUGGGUAGUUUCCUCAUAAGUAUACUAUCAUCAUACUUAAAGGGGACCCUCUCUAGUCUCCUGGAUUCUCACUGUGUGUAGCUGUCUCCUUCUUGGUGCUGUGUCGUGUGAACUCUGAUUGCCUUGGUCUUCCUGGGUGCUUGGCUUCACUUUCUUAAUUCAUGAAAUGACUUAAAAAGAGUAUGGAUUGGCCGGUCACAGUGGCUCACGCCUUAAUCCCAGCACUUUGGGAGGCCGAGGUGGGCGGAUCACGAGGUCAGGAGAUGAGACCAUCCUGGCUAACACGGUGAAACCCCGUCUCUACUAAAAAUACAAAAAAAUUAGCCGGGCGCCGUGGCGGGCGCCUGUAGUCCCAGCUACUCGGGAGGCUGAGGCAGGAGAAUGGCGUGAACCCAGGAGGCGGAGCUUGCAGUGAGCCGAGACUGCGCCACUGCACUCCAGCCUGGGCAACGGAGGGAGACUCCAUCUCAAAACAAAAAAACAAAAAGAAAACAAAAAAAAUAGUAUGGAUUAACAGAUUUGGCUGAAAAUCUAAGAAUGUGUGAACUGUAACCUGCCUAUAAAAGUAAGCCAACUAACUGUAUAUGCGUGUGUGUGUGCAUAUAUAUAGAUAUAUAUAAAAUAAAUUUAUAUAGAGAUGGGGGUUUCCCUAUGUUGCCCUGACUGGUCUUAAACUCCUGGGCUCAAGUUAUCUGACCGCCUCGACCUCCCAAAGUGCUGGGAUUACAGGCAUGAGCCACUGUGCGCAGCCAAACUUGAUUAUUUUUAGAGUUUGAUAUACAGUGUUAGUAAUCCUGUAUACAUGACAUUAGAUGCUUUUAAAUUCUUUAAUUUAUAUAUAAUGUAAUGUAUGUUCUUUAAUUUGAAUCUGUCUGAUUUGAAAAAUGAACUUGACCUCAUUGAACUACUUUAUAUAUUUAUGAAGAAUUGAUUUACUUUGCAGAUUAUUGACAUAAAGUGUUACUGAUUGACCUUAACAGAACAAGCUUUUUCAAAUAUUGUAAUCAUCUUUAUAUUAACAUUUUGUUUAUUAAGGAUUUUAUUGCAUCUAAAGGAUUUUACGUGGCUUAUAGGAUUGAAUAAAAUGUGGAAUAGAACAAUUA